rnacentral:rRNA from 1 species
ACAAUGAAGAGUUUGAUCCUGGCUCAGGAUGAACGCUAGCUACAGGCUUAACACAUGCAAGUCGAGGGGCAUCAGGAAGAAAGCUUGCUUUCUUUGCUGGCGACCGGCGCACGGGUGAGUAACACGUAUCCAACCUGCCCUUUACUCGGGGAUAGCCUUUCGAAAGAAAGAUUAAUACCCGAUAGUAUAAUGAUUCCGCAUGGUUUCAUUAUUAAAGGAUUCCGGUAAAGGAUGGGGAUGCGUUCCAUUAGGUUGUUGGUGAGGUAACGGCUCACCAAGCCUUCGAUGGAUAGGGGUUCUGAGAGGAAGGUCCCCCACAUUGGAACUGAGACACGGUCCAAACUCCUACGGGAGGCAGCAGUGAGGAAUAUUGGUCAAUGGGCGUUAGCCUGAACCAGCCAAGUAGCGUGAAGGAUGAAGGCUCUAUGGGUCGUAAACUUCUUUUAUAUAAGAAUAAAGUGCAGUAUGUAUACUGU